CAAAGAGGACCACGCGAACUUAACCACUACACCACCAGGCUGGCCCUAGGCCUCUCUUUUUACCACAGUGUUUUGAACAGGUGCAGCGCCCGGCAGCCCCUGACUGGCUUUGGUCCUGUGCGUGUAGACCUGAAAGCUCUCCUCAGCGUUGUCAGUGGAAAACCUGGGGGCGGCGCGCAGCGUGAGACCGUGGCCAGUCGCAGUCCAUCGCUGGUGUCUCAGAUCACUCUGACAACCGGUCAGGACGAUGGAAAUUGUCAUCAUGAUUAUUUGGCAUAGUAGACUGGCUGGUUAAGUAAAAAAUGAUCAAUUCAAUAUGUUAUAUGUUUUAUAAUACACCAUGAUGCAUAUAGUACUGUGUCAGAUUCUGUGGAAUACAGGAUAAAGUAAAGUAUGGUGGAAACCAAACCAAAAAAUAACAACAGGAUAUGAUUUGGGCCCCAAAAAUGGAAGGAGAAAGACUAGAGGAUUGAUGAUAGAGAAUGGCAUUUACUAUUUCCUAGUAUUUUAACAUAUACAAUGGUAAGGAUUCACCUGACCAGUUCUUUUUAUUUUUAAUUCCAUGAAAGAUACUAAUGCUAUUAUCGCAGUCAUAAUAAUAAUAAUAGCCAAAUGCAUUCAGUGUUCUCUGUGUACCAGGCAUUGCACUAGACUCUUUGCAUGCGUGGCCUCAUUAAUGCCCUCCCAACAACGCUUUGAGACUGGCAUUAUCCUUCUCACUUUAGGGAUGAGGGAACUGAGCCUUGGAGAAAAGAACUCACUUAAUGCCACACACCAGGAAGCGGGAUUGCUGCCGUUGGAACCCAAAUCUGACACCAAAUCUGACUUUCUUUUCCCUGGACCAUACCAACAGCGAGGAGACGCUAAGGACAUUGGAACUGCUAGGUGUUUGCCAUUUGUUCCAACCUUCGCUCUCUAAGGUUAUGGGAAGAAAUAAUAUUUCUGGGCUGAGAUGGAAAGCGGGACCUGACUUAGUCGGUGAAAGGCUGUGAGUGGCAGGAAGAGGCAUUCCAAGAAGGCCUGGCUGUGUUUUUCCUCUUGGAAAAGCUGAAAACUACAAAUCAAUAGUUCCAAGGUAUCUGGAAUAUGUCAAAGACCAGUCGAUAUGAAUCAACCGACAAGAGUGAUAUUGAAUUCGACCAUGAGGUUGUGUCAGAGAAAAGGCCCCAAAGGUCUACAUUCCAGGCUGAAAGGCCAGGAUAAUAUGCAACUAAUUGAGGCACUAGAGGGACCUUCCUCUCAACAAAUGGAUCUCCUGAGUCUUCAGCAGGAACUUCGUCCGGAAGAAAUGAAGAUGCAGGAAGAUACUGUGCUAGUUGCCCUGCAAAUGCCAGCAUUGUCCUUGCCCCGGCCCUCACCCCGUCAUAACAGGUGAGGAUCCUGCCUUCCUUACAUUUCCCAGGCAAGAUGCUCACAGGAGAACAUUUGAAACUGUCUUACAUUCUCCUGCAAAAGGAACUCGGUGGCCACGUUCCCUGGA
rnacentral:lncRNA from 1 species